AGGGAAAAGAGUCGGUCACGUCAGCAGUUUCUCCCACGUGACCUAUCAGCCCCUUGGUAUGGAUACCCCGGCAAAUCAUCAGAAGUCACAAAUAGAAAGAGUCCAUCUACUAUUGAAUUUUACAAGUAUCAAGGAAACAGUUGCCAAGAGGCAGGGACCGGGAGAAAGAGGCCUAAGAAAUGCAUCCAGCUACCAGCAUCCACUACUGAGAAGGCUUCAGAUCGUCUUAUUCCAACGUGGACACCCGAUGAUAAGAGGGCAAAACGGGUGCUAUCAUUUGCAACAAAUGGAAAUGGAGGGCAAACUAACCUGAUAUGGAGUGAUAAGAACUCUCAUACAUUGGGUAGACGAUAUUAACUCUCUUUUAAGAGGUAUAUUGGGCCAAUACAACUGAGCUCAAGUAGGUGUCAGCUCAUAGCGUUUUUUUAAACCUUACAUUCCCGGGACAUUAAAUAUUAUCAAAUUACAUGAUCUUUUACAACUCAUAUUGCAUAAUUCUGCAAUUGCUGGUGUCGGAAAAAUGUCGUUCACCAUGUACCGAACCUCUUAUUUUUAAUCUAGUGAUAUACUUCUAUAAUGUAAA